CAAGGAAGGAACUCAGAGGAGGAAUCUGAAGGCAGGAGCUGAUAUAGAGGCCAUGGGGGUGUGCUACUUACUGUCUUUCUCUUCAUGUCUAAACUUAGCCUGCUUUCUUAUAAUACCACCAGACCAAGGCUGGUACCUCCAGCAAUAGGCUAGACCCUCCCACAUCAGUCACUAAUGAAGAAAAUGCACCACAGGCUUGCCUAUGGGCAAGUCCAGUUGGGGGCAUUUUCUCAGUUGAGUCUCCUCCUCAUCAAAUGACUCUAGCUUGUAUCAAGUUGACAUACCUACAUGUGUGUGUGUACCACGUACACAUUUGGUGCCCACAGAAGCCUGAAGAGUGUGUCAGGUCCCCUCAUACUACUAGAGUUGCAGAUCGUCAGGAGGUGCCAUGUGGUUGCUGGGAAUUGAACUUGGGUCCUUUGGAAGAGCAGGUAUUGCUCCUAACUGCUGAGUCAUCCUUGCAGCCCGAAAAUUAGAACAUUUGAAAAUGCUUAGUAGACCCAGCGAAUUUGACAGUUUUAGUGUGUUAAUUCUAGAAGACUUUCCUAAUGAGAUAUAUAGUGAUACCAGUAGAUGAUUUUGAAUAUUAUAUAGUGGAAAAUGUUAAUAUUUAAAGAAAUUGCAUAACUCACUGACCCUCUGGUUUCCAAAUAACUAAUGAUUGAUGCUAAAGAGGCCAUAUUCAGUUAAAAGAUCUGUUCAAGAGCUAGAGACAUGGCUCAG
rnacentral:lncRNA from 1 species